AUGACUUUGGUCUCCAUCUUCAUCUGGACGCUCACCCUCUGGACUCAAGGAUCCAGUGGUCAGGUGACUGUGACUCCGGCAGUGAAAACUGUUUCUCCAGGAGACUCAGUUACCAUCAGCUGUAGAACCAGCCCUGCAGUGUAUAACAAUAACUGUCUAUCCUGGUAUCAGCAGAAACCUGGAGAAGCUCCUAAACUCCUGAUCUACAGGGCUACCAGUAGACAGUCAGGUAUUCCAGCUCGUUUCAGUGGCAGUGGAUCUGGAUCUGACUUCACUCUGACCAUCAGUAAUGUCCAGACUGAAGAUGCAGGAGAUUAUUACUGUCACAGUCACCAUUAUUUCAGUAGUGUUGGUGAAGUGUUCUCACAGUGUUUAGUUUAUGUGUAG